CAACAGCUAGAGUUUGAUCCUGGCUCAGGAUGAACGCUGGCGGCGUGCCUAACACAUGCAAGUCGAACGGAGUGUUGAGAGCUUGCUUUUAACACUUAGUGGCGGACGGGUGAGUAAUGCGUGAGCAACCUGCCUUUCAGAGGGGGACAACAGUUGGAAACGACUGCUAAUACCGCAUAAUGUAAAUUUGGGGGCAUCCCCCGAAUUACCAAAGGAGCAAUCCGCUGAAAGAUGGGCUCACGUCUGAUUAGCUAGUUGGUGGGGUAACGGCUCACCAAGGCUGCGAUCAGUAGCCGGACUGAGAGGUUGAACGGCCACAUUGGGACUGAGAUACGGCCCAGACUCCUACGGGAGGCAGCAGUGGGGAAUAUUGGGCAAUGGGCGAAAGCCUGACCCAGCAACGCCGCGUGAAGGAAGAAGGUCUUCGGAUUGUAAACUUCUUUUAUGAGGGACGAAGGACGUGACGGUACCUCAUGAAUAAGCCACGGCUAACUACGUGCC
rnacentral:rRNA from 1 species